AGAAAUCUGUGGCUACAAGUUAAUUUUUCACUCUGUGCAAACUUACACAUACUCCUUGUGAAGCUGCAGGUCUGGUCAGGUAGCUGAUCUAUUUUAACUAUUAUCUAUUGAAAAGCCAGCACAGCACCUUGGGGCCUUUUCUGAGAGAGCCCCUCUCCCUGCUGGAGCAGAAGAAACCUCUCAAGUUGUGGCUAGGAGAGAGCUGCCUUGAAUGCAGCCCAGCACAAAGAGUAGGGGAAGCAGAUGAGUUAUGCUGAGCAAAACACAUGAAGCUCACCUUGCAACUGUGACAGAGAACUAUGCAAGUAUUUGCCUGUUUGUUUAGGAAGUUUGGUGCUUGUUUGCACCCAGAGCCUCAAGGUUUUUCUCACUUUGGCUUUGCCUCCUCAUGAGCUCUCUCCAUCAGCAUGUGAAGCAGCAGCAGCGGAUAGCUGGAAAGGCACCAAGUUUGCUGUAGCUCUCUAGUGCAAGGCACUGUCAGAUCAAUUGAAGAGCUCUCCUGUGAAGUGUGUGUCAGAGAGCUGUGUUUUGGAAAGGGCCUCCUGUGAUUCCUCACUUUGAGAGCAGCCGUGUGGAGCUCAGCUGAGAAGUCCAAUGUGAGAUUGGUACUGCAGCCGCCAAGGCCAUUAUUGGAGUGUUAUCUUCUCCACACUGCACAGCCUGGGGAGAAAGCUGCAGAGUGCUGACAGACUGCAGAGACUUUCUGCUCUUCAAAGCCAUUUUCUGCACAGAGCACUCCUGUUCGUGAGGGCGGUACACAAAAGUCGGAUCAUUCUGCCCUCAACACAGAAAGAUGCAUAUCUGUCUGGAGGACCUUUCCUUGGUGCAGUGCAGUGUAGCAGCCAUUGCAAAAACCUCCAGAAGCAGAAAUGAAUGCAAGUAUCAACUGCAGUCUGAAACUCCUCCGUUGAACUUACUGCUUCAGUCACAGUGUGGGAAGAGAGAGGUGAAGGCUUUCUUUGUGACAAAUUGGAUGCUAGCUGUCCUCUCCAGCAAUGGAGAGAUAACAGGUCCUACUAAAACCACUUCUCAACUUCGCAGGAACAGAUUUCUGCUGCUUCCCCUACAAAAUAACUUCCUUAGCUGAUAUCCUGCCCUGUCAGCAGGAGUUUUGGGAAUCGGUGGCCUCUGAGCAGAACCACCUUUGCAUGUUUUGUGAUACAGUAACACCAAACUGUUCAGAUGCUUUCUCGUGUAAAAGGAAACUUAGUUUUUUUCUCCUUCUGUCUGGCUCCAAGCAACUAAAAUACCUCAGUACUUGGAAGAUAAAUGCAUUUAGAGCCAGGAGAGGCCUCCGGAGCCAUAGGCUACACUGCUUCCUGCUCUCUAAAACACUGAAUGAGGAGAGAUACUAUUGCUCCCAAGUACAGCUCAGAGCUUGUUAGAACAGGGAAAGCUGCCCUGUUUGGCCCUUCCUGCAGGGGCAAGGGAUAGGCUGGCUUAGGUGAAUGAGGCCAUCCCAGCUUCUGGGUUCACCCCAUGUUUUGUCCCAUAGGAUGAGGGAUCUUCUGUGGCUCCACCUCUCUUGUUUUGCCUAAGCUUCCUGUGUCUUGGAAUGGGUCUGUCUCUUGGGAAGGAGUUUUUCAUCAGUUCCCAGGAUUUCUGUGAGCACUGCAUAAGCCUUCAUGGAAAACAUCAUGGGAUGCUCUGCUCAGGGCAUCUUGGAGGUCCAGCAGAAAAUGGCAUGGGAGGUCUGGUUGAGAUAGGUCACCAGUGAUGUGGUUGGGUUAUGUCUCAUCUUUCUGUUUCAAUUGUGCUUUUUCCCUCCCAUUUCUGGAUGAACACCGAGUGGCACAGGCAGAGUGCUGCACUCCUUUGCAAAGAUAAAGACUGGUAUAAAAGGAGGAGAGCUACUGGAAAACUGGAAGUUGGUAAAAUUGCUCCAGAAACUUUGCUGAGACCUCAACACCAAGCCCACAAAAAGCAAACCUGGGCAUUUGUGAGGUAAGCACAAAAUGCUGGCAGCAGGAAGCCCUUCAGGUUGUUCUGGAUACAGCUUCACUGUCGAGACUACACUUCCAUUACAGAUUGUGGGGUGUUAUACAGUCCUUUGGCAGGACUUCAUAGGCAAUGCUUGGAGACACAAGGACACUUCUUGAUUGAAAUAUGAAGGGACUUUGAGCUGACGUAAAACUUCUUCAAAAACCAGGCAAGGCAAUAAAGCCUUUUUGCAGUGGGUUCAGGACUCAUGGCCUCAUCAAAGCCCCCUCCAGCAGCAAGAAGAGUGCUAGAAGGAGCCGGCCCCUUACACAGCCACUCUGGUCAUCCUAUCUUAUAAUUACAUGAGACAAAGCUUGCAAGAUUUCACAGGUUUCACCCUCCCAAAUGUUAUUCCUCUGCAUUAAACCUGUGGGGGAAGUGAGUUACUGGGGAAAGUAACCAGAAGGCUGUGCCUGUUCUGCCUGUCAGCUCCAUCCCAACAGCAAUUCGUGGCUGGAGUCACAAUUCUGCCCUGGUACAGAAGUGUU